UGAAGAACACAGUCAGUCACCCUGGCUUGGAGUAAAGGAUCAGUCAUUCGGAGCUGGAGGGAAGAUGGAAGACAGACACUUGAGGAGGGACUGGAAGACGGGCACUCGGACUUGGCUGUGGAACUGGAUCCCUGGAGGAGCUCGUGUAGGAUAUUUCAGACUGCUUUUCUUUUAGAUGGUCACCAUGGUUCCGAACCUAAAGAGGAGAAAGAAAAUAUCAUCUGGAAGACUGAACUCAGUCAAACCAAUACAAAAAAGUGAUUGUUGGAUAUAUAUGUCAGACUGAGAGUAUCCAUUUCAACAGUCCUCUUUACAGGCAUUCGUUCCAAAUCGCACAGUGCCCAUACAAUCUGGAAUCAGAGUCACAGGGUCUGAGACUGAAAAGAGCUCAGGUCAUGAAUGAAGAAACUCCAAAGCACACACAACCUGUGCCUAUGUGGCAGAGCUGGGGGCAAUGACAAGAUGGAGAAGCAGAGAAUGCCAGAUUGGGAGGGACCUCCAUCCAGUCCAAUCUCCUCAUUUAUAGAGAAGGAAAAUGGUGCUCAGAGAGGAAGUGAUUUGUCUCAAAUAAAAGAAGUACAAUUAUUUCAAUAUAAAAGGGUGGCAAAGUCACUCUUUAAUCAGCAUUUUCCUUUGUGUUCACUGUAAAAGCUAAUUUCAUGAUCAUGUAAAUGACUGGGGGGAAAAGAGCAGGAAAGAAUAUAUAAAUAUUGGUUUUUGUUUUGGUUUUAGGGCAAGAAUUCAAUCCCAAAUUCUAUCAAUAAAUAUUCCUUGAGGCACAGAGAAUGGUAAGGAGUGAAGGGGAAAAACAAUGGAUGGGAGAGGGAGAAAGGAUUCAGUUGCUUGGUUAAGGCCCUGGGAACUGAAAGGGUGUUUAUGCUAUGGUUUAUUUGAGCCCUGCUAAUGCCUUAAAAAAAAGUGCUACUUUAAGAUUCUCCAGGGCUUUCAGGGAAGUAAAGCCCUAUUAGGGAACCUCAUUUUCCUCUGAGGGAGACUCUUUGGUGGUAGGUAAUGAUGAUGCCUUUCUGUUCAGUUUUGUCAUGGUCUGUACAAAAUGAGGCCCCCUUUGGGCUGUCAAACAUUGUUUGAUGGGGAUGCUUCUGGGCAGUCCAAUUGUGCUGGCCAGAGGUAGCUCAAUAAAACAAUAAAAUCUUGCUAAAUCAAUUCGGGUGCU